rnacentral:lncRNA from 1 species
CCAGACAAUAAAGCAAUGGGAUAGAAAAGCAGGCCAUACAUUUUUCUUACUGAAAAUUCACAACUACAUCUUUUUACAUGCAAACAAGGUCUGACAAGACAGGAUAGGAUUUCGGUCCUCAUCCGGGUCGUACUCGAUGUCAUACUCGGGGUCCUCCUCCACGUACUCCUCUUUGGGUUCCUCAACAGGGAUCUCCUCAUCAAAUUCAUGCUCCUUAGGCUCCUCAUCCAGGUCUUGAAAUGGUUAUUCAAUAACCACUGAGACCACGUCUCAGCAAGUUCUACUUCCUAAGACCCGAUUAGUAAACUAAUACACCUUAGGGCUGCCUAUGCACAACAUGAAUUAGAAGACUUACCUUAGCCUCAGAUUCCACCUGCAUAUUAGUACAGAUCAAAUAGGCACACAAGCAAUCACAUCACAGAUCGAAGCAUCGAUCUAAUCGACUUAGUCGAUUUCACAUCAGGAAGACCAAUCACGAUCAUCUCCCUUCAAUCAUUCAAUUCAACACAUCAAACCAAGGCAAUGAAUCACAUCAAGACACACUCAGAUCGAAUCAUCGAUCAAUCGACCUAGUCGAUUUCAAGCCAGUCGAAUCAUUUCUAGGUCAUUCAUCCCACAUCAAGCAAUUCCUUGGAUUUAGUGGAUUUACGGUCCCACCCGACCCUCUCGAGAACUA